rnacentral:lncRNA from 1 species
ACAUCCUGGUGGAGCGCUCCAACCGCAGCAGAGCCAUCAACGUGCCUCCACGGGUGACCGUGCUCCCCAAGUCUCGGGUGGAGCUGGGCCAGCCCAACAUCCUCAUCUGCAUCGUGGACAACAUCUUCCCCCCUGUGAUCAAUAUCACCUGGCUACGCAACGGCCAAACUGUCACUGAGGGAGUGGCCCAGACCAGCUUCUAUUCCCAGCCUGACCAUUUGUUCCGCAAGUUCCACUACCUGCCCUUCGUGCCCUCAGCCGAGGACGUCUAUGACUGCCAGGUGGAGCACUGGGGCCUGGAUGCGCCACUCCUCAGGCAUUGGGGUACGGAGCCCCCUCCCCAUGCACCCUCCUGGCCCCAGGUUUCCUUUACUCUAGAAUCCUUUCAUAUACCACCGACUCCUUCCUUUCUCUCCUAGAGCUCCAGGUGCCUAUUCCACCACCAGAUGCCAUGGAGACCCUGGUCUGUGCCCUGGGCCUGGCCAUCGGCCUGGUGGGCUUCCUCGUGGGCACCGUCCUCAUCAUCAUGGGCACAUAUGUGUCCAGUGUCCCCAGGUAAUGAUCCUUCUGAGAGAAAUGACUUGUGGGAGACACCC